UACGGAGGGGGCAAGCGUUGUUCGGAAUUACUGGGCGUAAAGGGUUCGUAGGUGGCUUGCUAAGUCAGACGUGAAAUCCCUCGGCUCAACCGGGGAACUGCGUCUGAGACUGGCGAGCUUGAGUGCAGGAGAGGAACGCAGAAUUCCAGGUGUAGCGGUGAAAUGCGUAGAUAUCUGGAGGAACACCGGUGGCGAAGGCGGCAUCCUGGACCAAUAUUGACGCUGAGGAGCGAAAGCCAGGGGAGCAAACGGG
rnacentral:rRNA from 1 species